AUGCCCAACGUCAGUGAAGUAGAGUUGAAAUAGAAUUUUUUCGCUCUUGAAAAUUGCGAUCACGUUUCUAAUAUAGUGAAAACAAUAUUCUAGUGACCGGGUGAUUUCUGCGCAGAUGCUUGCCCUUCCAAUAUUAUGUACGAUAUAACGGUAAAUAACGAUUUCGGUGGCCCAACGGUUUGCACUGUGGACACUGGACGAGAAAGUUUUGGAUUCGCUGCCAGCUUACGCUCGCUCUGAUGAGAAAAAUUACAAAAUAUACCAACCACCCGAUAAUACCCGUAGCGAACGAAUUUGAUUUUCAUAAACGACCUCGGUGGCCUAACGAUUUGAGCUAUAAUAUGAUGGCGCUAGGUAAGUUCCGUGUUCAAUUAUCGAUAGAUAAAAAUUCAGAAACGGACUUUUCGAAAUUAGUCUGGUCUAAGUGCAAGGAAUUCUCUAGUUUGCGACCAGAUAAUUGGUGUGUUUUCUGGCAUAUUAUUACUAAAAACGUUAUUCGCUUGUGAUGGUUUAUUUCUCCAGUCAGAGUACAAAGGAAAAAGAACCGAUACAAAAGAUUCCGCGCUUAUCAUUGACUUACAAAUAAAUGGACGACGGGUCUAAUACAAAAACCACGAAAAAAAUGUCCCAAGUCA